rnacentral:rRNA from 1 species
AAUCAACGCUGGCGGCGUGCCUAACACAUGCAAGUCGCACGAGAAAGGGGAGCAAUCCCUGAGUAAAGUGGCGCACGGGUGAGUAACACGUGAAUUAUCUACCUCCGAGUGGGGAAUAACUGAGAGAAAUCUUAGCUAAUACCGCAUAACACUUACGAGUCAAAGCAGCAAUGCGCUUGGAGAGGAGUUCGCGGCCGAUUAGUUAGUUGGCGGGGUAAUGGCCCACCAAGACGAUGAUCGGUAUCCGGCCUGAGAGGGCGCACGGACACACUGGAACUGAAACACGGUCCAGACUCCUACGGGAGGCAGCAGUGGGGAAUUUUGUCGCAAUAGGGGGAAACCCGUACGACGCAGCAACGCCGCCGUGGAGGAUGAAGUAUCUUGGUACGUAAACU